UUUCAAAUCUUGAGUCGAAAGUUUUCAAAUCCGAGUCAAAAGUUUUCAAAAUUUGACUUUAAAAUUUAAAUCUUAAAUCAAAAGUUUUCAAAUCUGACUUAAAAAAAUUUCAAUCUGUUAGUAAAAAAUUCUUAAGAAUCUUCCAUAAUUACCCAUCAUUAGUGUUAAGUGUUAACUAAUAUAGAGUAGUUAUAGAGAGGGAAGGGAAGGAGAUGUGCUCGCUGCUGGCACACACAUGCCAGCUAGCAGGCCCCGCUUUAAGAUACCCAUCUGCGAAAAUAGCAUAUUUUUAGGCUGGUUUAAUUUCAGGCUGCCUGACCAGGCAACAUUGGUUGCCUUCUCGGAUGCUAUAUAUUCACGCAUACAAAUUUCUAAGGCAGGGUGCUCAUGGCUCCAACCAAACAGGCUCUUCAUCCAGGAUAUUAAGAAGCCAAGAUAUCCCAUUUGCCGCUGGAGGCGGUGAUCUCAAGUCCAGUAUUGGGUUUUUAUUGCUUCAUAAAAGGAAAAAGUACACCGAAGGUGGCUUUGACCCUGGUUUUGGUUUUAUCUGAUGUGGCGGCUUAAUCAGCGUGGGUCCCACAAGUCAGGGCGUCCACGACAGCCCCCUCUCUAUCCCUUUUUCUCUCCCUUCGUUCUCUCUCUCACCACUGCUGGUCAGCGGGCGGGGAGAACGCCGACGGGAGAGGAGGGCGUCGGCGGCCGCGAGCGCGCAGCGGACGAGAGCUGCAGCGAGCGGGCGGGCGGCGGAGCGGAGCGGCGGUGGCAGGCGAGCGAGCGGUCGUCCGACGGGGAGCUGCUCCGGUCGCUGCACCGCCUGGCACGCGACCUGUCCGCCGUCGACACACCCGCGCCGUUCCUGCGCGCCUUGUUCGCGUCCAUCUCGAGGCGGUCGAAGCUACUGGCGGCCGCGUUGGAUGACCUGCGGGGCGCCGCCGAGGAGUUGCCGCAGCCCGCAGGUUUAUCUUUCCUUUCUGGUUGGGGAACCAAUAUCUCCAUGGUGUCACCAUCUUUGCAAGAAGGGGAUAGAUCGACGCGUCAAGAAAUCGUUUCUGUUGCCAUGGCUCGAGUAAGCAAUACGAUUGUUGCUUGCGUACAAUUUUUUCUUUUUGCGGGGUGCGUACAAUUUUUUCUUGAUGCAGACUAGUUUCUUUUCUUGUACCCUGUUUUAAAAAAAUCUCACUCCUCUGUUUAUAUCUGUUCUGUUCAUGCACCGUGCUAACCCCGGGCUUGUCGGACUGGAAUCCUUUGAAGAAUGAAGCCCCAAUGAGGCAAUGACUGUGCUAGAUCCACCAUGCCAUUCAGUGUUGCAGGUCAUGAUGCUUUGAGCUCGUGAUUGUGUCUGUGUCAGCGUAAUGGAUACAUUCAGCUAUCAUAUUUCCUCUAAAAUAUUCGUGUUUUCGUUCAUUGGAUUUACUUUGUUAGAUUUGGCGGUUUGGCAAUGAUGAUACAAACUUUCAGCUUACCAUGCCAGUUCUGCUUCUGAGAAUUCAUGACAGAUAAAGCUGAUAUAGAUCUGAACUGAA